UUUAUUGCUAGACUGGGUGGUUCGCCCUCACCUGUAACUGCAAAUGGGAUGCACGGCAGAGUUGAAGCCUGAAGGGCGGCGUUGCUUGAGCCAGAAGUCCUGGCUGGACUGUCGACGUCUUGUCCUCUAAGAUCGUGGUUUUUAUGAACUGAGUCAGAUCAGGAAUGAAGCAGCUCUAAGUUUUAAUCGCGGUGCCUAGAGGGUUGCAGGGCUGAGGAAAGGUUAGGGUCGCUUGUGACUUUAUGUUUUCGUCCACCUUCAGGCGUGCACUUUA
rnacentral:SRP_RNA from 1 species